AUACUUACCUGGCAGGGGAGAUAUCACUCCGGAUGUGCUUGCCCCUGUGAUUUCCUCAAAAUGUGGGAAACUCUACUGCAUAAUUUGUGAAAAUGGGGCACUGUGUUCAUGCUUUCUCCUG
rnacentral:snRNA from 14 species